GAACGCGAAGAACCUUACCUACCCUUGACAUCCUGCGAAUCCCGAUGAGAGUUGGGAGUGCCGCAAGGAACGCAGAGACAGGUGCUGCAUGGCUGUCGUCAGCUCGUGUUGUGAGAUGUUGGGUUAAGUCCCGUAACGAGCGCAACCCUUGUCCUUAGUUGCCAUCAUUUAGUUGGGGACUCUAAGGAGACUGCCGGUGAUGAACCGGAGGAAGGCGGGGACGACGUCAAGUCAUCAUGGCCUUUAUGGGUAGGGCUACACACGUGCUACAAUGGGGCGUACAGAGGGUCGCCAACCCGCGAGGGGGAGCCAAUCUCUUAAAGCGUCUCGUAGUCCGGAUCGGAGUCUGCAACUCGACUCCGUGAAGUCGGAAUCGCUAGUAAUCGCGAAUCAGCAUUGUCGCGGUGAAUACGUUCCCGGGUCUUGUACACACC
rnacentral:rRNA from 1 species